UACGGGAGAUCCAAGCGUUAUCCGGAAUCAUUGGGUUUAAAGGGUCCGUAGGCGGUUUGGUAAGUCAGUGGUGAAAGCCCAUCGCUCAACGGUGGAACGGCCAUUGAUACUGCCAGACUUGAAUUAUUAGGAAGUAACUAGAAUAUGUAGUGUAGCGGUGAAAUGCUUAGAGAUUACAUGGAAUACCAAUUGCGAAGGCAGGUUACUACUAAUGGAUUGACGCUGAUGGACGAAAGCGUGGGUAGCGAACAGG
rnacentral:rRNA from 1 species